UACGGAGGGUGCGAGCGUUGUCCGGAAUCACUGGGCGUAAAGGGCGCGUAGGCGGGCAGUUAAGUCAGUGGUGAAAUCCUGGAGCUCAACUCCAGAACUGCCAUUGAUACUAUCUGUCUUGAAUAUUGUGGAGGUAAGCGGAAUAUGUCAUGUAGCGGUGAAAUGCUUAGAUAUGACAUAGAACACCUAUUGCGAAGGCAGCUUACUACGCAUAUAUUGACGCUGAGGCACGAAAGCGUGGGGAUCAAACAGG
rnacentral:rRNA from 1 species